rnacentral:rRNA from 1 species
AGUCUGCCUUUGUACACACCGCCCGUCGCUCCUACCGAUUGAAUGGUCCGGUGAAGUUUUCGGAUUGCGGCGACGCCGGUGGUUCGCCGCCGGUGACGUUGUGAGAAGUUUAUUAAACCUUAUCAUUUAGAGGAAGGAGAAGUCGUAACAAGGUUUCCGUAGGUGAACCUGCGGAAGGAUCAUUG